rnacentral:rRNA from 1 species
CAGUAGCCGCGGUAAUACGUAGGUGGCGAGCGUUGUCCGGAAUCAUUGGGCGUAAAGGGGGCGCAGGCGGGCAUGUAAGUCUUUCUUAAAAGUGCGGGGCUCAACCCCGUGAUGGGAAAGAAACUACAUGUCUUGAGUACAGGAGAGGAAAGCGGAAUUCCCAGUGUAGCGGUGAAGUGCGUAGAUAUUGGGAGGAACACCAGUGGCGAAGGCGGCUUUCUGGACUGCAACUGACGCUGAGGCUCGAAAGCCAGGGGAGCGAACGGGAUUAGAGACCCCUGUAGUCCCUGUCUCUUAUACA